UAUGGGCAGAUGAGGAAUCUCAUGAUUUUAAUGGGUAAUUUGCGUCUGAAACUUUUCAAUGAUGCUAUAUAUCACCUUGGAGAACUGAUGCCCUUC
rfam:Nicotiana attenuata strain TT chromosome 10, whole genome shotgun sequence.